AACAAUCUUUGUUAACUAAGAUUGGCAUGUAUUGCUUGCACUAGUGAGGAUCAAAGGGGUUUAAAGAUGGGGGGUUCAUUUGGCGCCAGGUGCAGUUUUAGAAUCUGAAACGUGAUUCAGCUUUUCUGAAUUUUUAGAAGACGCAUAUUCCUCUCAGUUUUGGACCCUUCUAAUUAUUAAUUCCUGAACUUUGGUGGAUGAUCAUUACACCAAAUAUAAAGAGUUAUUAUCGGAGAACCAUUCUUAUUAAGCAUUGAUUUCCUGUCAUUACUUAGAACUGGAAGAAAAUCGUCCUCCAAUUCCCUCUGUUUUGCAAGGUUGAAACUGAAACUUGUGUCAGUUUUGGGGGCCAGGGUUCAACAUGCUCGCCUAUGUCUCAGCCAUCCUCAUCCCUUUUGUUUUCUAGAGCAUGUCUAUCUCCAUGGAAUAUCCCCACCGCCUACUCUUCUUCUUAUCCCAAGAGCUACCGUAUUCUUUUUCUCUCAUACGGAUAGAGAUAGCUGGAAGGAGAAUUUCCUCACGUAUCUCUCCCUCGGUUCUGUGCAACCGGCCACGUACUGAAGCUCUUCCUCACGCCACCUCUGCAUCUCAUUCACGUCAUUUAUUUCCCACGUAUUCAGCUCCUGGAAACUUCCUUCACAAGAUGCGUUGAACACCCUGGGAAUCACCCACGCCACCCAUCUCACCACUGCACCACUGCGCGCUUCAUACUGCUGGCCGGGCUGCUCCAGCACCAGGAACGCUCGCUCCUGCUCGUCGACGUUAGAUUUUCCCAGACGCGCGAGCUCCCCAGCAACUCCAACACGUUGCUCGCCUCGCUCAGUCUUCAAGCCAUCGUGCCGCUGGUUCUAGCCAAAGUGGGGCGCGUUCUUUCCUUCGCCAGGCAGCGCCUCCAGUCGUCGUUUCUUUUCCACGGCUGCACGCUCACCGACUCAAGCGCUUGGCCAUGGAGCUCGGUUUCGUGUGUGCCUGUGCUGGGUCACCAGGUCACGUGCUCGUCCGUUUUGAUGUCGUGCACGCUCCGGCUUGUGGAACUCGCCAGCGUUGUCAGCUACUACUAGACCUCACAGUGCAUCGGCGCUCUCGAUAUCGUCCUGAGUUCACUCCGCGUGCUGCGACGUCUCGCUCACCUCCUCGCCAAGCCGUCGUCGCCCUCGCGGUUAUCGGGUCGAUUCGAUCAGGGUAAGCUGAUCUAUUAUUCCCGCUAGUUAAAUCUGGUAAAACUAGAAAAAUCGUGAUUGUUGUGUUUAGUGAGUUAUAGAUGUCUAGUGCUUUCGUAGGAUUGUGUCGAUGUCUUGCCGCUAAAUAUUUGAUUCUCUUUUUUGUA